rnacentral:rRNA from 1 species
AUUGAACGCUGGCUGCAGGCCUAACACAUGCAAGUCGAGCGAGCGGCGGCCGGGUGAGUAAUGUUUGGGAAACUGCCUGAUGGCGGUGGCUACCUACUGGACUCGGUAGCUAAUACCGCAUACCAUCAGCUGUGACCAGAUGGGAUUCGCUAGUUGGUGGGGUGAUGGCUCACCUAGGCAACGAUCCCUAGCUGGUCUGAGCGGAUGGCCAGCCACACCGGAACUGAUACACGAUCCAGACUCCAACGGGAGGCAGCAGUGGGGAAAAUUACACAAUGGGCGCAGGCCAGGUGCAGCCAUGCCGCGUGUGGGAAGAAGGCCUGCGGGUUGUAAAGCACUUUCGGCGGUAGGGCGUUACCCGCAGAAGAAGCACCGGCUAACUCCGUGCCAGCAGCCGCGGUAAUUC